UUUUGCACUUUUGUUGCAGCAUAUGUAAUCUUGCGUAUUUAGAGUAAACACUAUUGUUUUGAAAUGCUCGUAGCAAAUAACCGUGCACCAGAUUAAAAUAAUUUCAACAUGUAAAUUGCUUAAAACAAUAUCCAACUUACAUCCAUGUUUAAAAUGUUUAACUUUCUGUUUUAAUUUAAUUUGCUCAAAUGCCAUGCUAAAAC
rnacentral:lncRNA from 1 species